rnacentral:rRNA from 1 species
GACGAACGCUGGCGGCGUGCUUAACACAUGCAAGUCGAACGGAAAGGCCCUGCUUUUGUGGGGUGCUCGAGUGGCGAACGGGUGAGUAGCACGUGAGUAACCUGCCCUUGACUUUGGGAUAACUUCAGGAAACUGGGGCUAAUACCGGAUAGGAGCUCCUGCUGCAUGGUGGGGGUUGGAAAGUUUCGGCGGUUGGGGAUGGACUCGCGGCUUAUCAGCUUGUUGGUGGGGUAGUGGCUUACCAAGGCUUUGACGGGUAGCCGGCCUGAGAGGGUGACCGGCCACAUUGGGACUGAGAUACGGCCCAGACUCCUACGGGAGGCAGCAGCGGGGAAUAUUGCACAAUGGGCGGAAGCCUGAUGCAGCAACGCCGCGUGCGGGAUGACGGCCUUCGGGUUGUAAACCGCUUUCGCCUGUGACGAAGCGUGAGUGACGGUAAUGGGUAAAGAAGCACCGGCUAACUACGUG